CGUAGUUGGACUUCUGGUUUGGUGCGCUCGGCCCGCUCCCUUUAGGGAUGUGAGUGUUGACGCGCGCCUUCCAUCUUUGUACAGGACCUCUCUGCCCUUCACUGGGACUGGAUUGGCGAUGUGCAUCUUUUACUUUGAAAAAAUUAGAGUGUUUAAAGCAGGCUUGUGCUAUGAAUACAUUAGCAUGGAAUAAUAACUUAGGACUUUGGUUCUAUUUUGUUGGUUUCUAGGACCGAAGUAAUGA
rnacentral:rRNA from 1 species